CAAGUACAAAAUAAUUUAUUAAAGCAUUAUACAGGUUGGCAUUAUUUUACAGUGAAUUCUUUUCUCUCAACAAUUAUGAAUCUAAAUAUAUACUUAGCGUGAAGGAAAACAAUUUUAAUUAGAACAGUUUCUCUAAAUAAAAUCUUUUGAAUUUAUAUUUGUUUUAAAAGGAAGUAUUAAUGUUACAGACAUAUUUAUAUGGUUCUGAAAAGAACACAUUCAAUGAUACUA
rnacentral:lncRNA from 1 species